rnacentral:misc_RNA from 1 species
CAACCCUCGAGCCCCUGUGGCCCGGCGUUGGGGAUCUGCCACGGCAGGCCCCUAAAACCAGUGGCGGACCCGAAGGGCCCUCUCCUUUGCGCAGUAGCAUUCGCCUCGCAUUGGGAGUCCUCGGCGUCCUGCCUCUAAACCCCCCACAAGUCCGCUUCGGCGGCACCAAG